CAAAGCAAACGAUCCCGGUCUCUCAUUAUAUCCCGCGCCUCCCCAGCGAUUUCAAAACUAGAAUCCUAUAAUCCAAAACCAAAACCCUAAUUUUUCCUCCCAAAUCCCAAUCCUCACUUGAUCCUCUCCGUUCUCCACUCCAAGAUCAUUUCUUUCCAUCUUAUUCUUCAUCUCCCGCCCAUUUCUCUCUACUCGGAACUAGGGUUUGGCCUCCAAGAUUUCUCUUUUCCCCUCUCCCGCCAUAUAUCUUUUGAUCCAUUUCUCCUGGUUUGGAUCUAGGGCUCCGGGUUUGGGAAUUUGAAUGGCUGAUGCCGCUGGUGGUGGAUCGCGGCCCAAGAGGGCUCUGGAGGGUUUUGAGGAGAUGGUGGAUGGGGAGAAGCGGAAGAGAGUGAAGGGUUCAGGGACAGUGUCCGAAGUAACUGACACAGAGAAGGCAAAACUAUAGCAUUUGAAGAAGAAAGGAUAGUUGUGGAGGGAGGUCUCUUAUGAUGCCUGGGUAGAACCUGAAUUUGAUGGUGUUAGAUAUAUAUAUAUAUAUAUAUAUUAUUUCUUGAAUUAUUUCAUGCUUCUUUCCAUUGUGUGCUUUGAGAUUCUUUUGUUUUGAAAAAUUAUCAUUAUUUUAGUAAUCUGUAGGUGUAUGGAGAAGCCUUUGAUUAUUUUUGGCUGCUGGUAAUGUUAGGGUGGUUUAUCCGGUUAGUCAUACCCUCUUGGUUCAAGUUUGAGCUAGCAUCAGCGUUAAGUUUGGUUAA